CUUGGGUGGCGAGUGGCGGACGGGUGAGGAAUACAUCGGAAUCUACUUUUUCGUGGGGGAUAACGUAGGGAAACUUACGCUAAUACCGCAUACGACCUACGGGUGAAAGCAGGGGACCUUCGGGCCUUGCGCGAUUGAAUGAGCCGAUGUCGGAUUAGCUAGUUGGCGGGGUAAAGGCCCACCAAGGCGACGAUCCGUAGCUGGUCUGAGAGGAUGAUCAGCCACACUGGAACUGAGACACGGUCCAGACUCCUACGGGAGGCAGCAGUGGGGAAUAUUGGACAAUGGGCGCAAGCCUGAUCCAGCCAUACCGCGUGGGUGAAGAAGGCCUUCGGGUUGUAAAGCCCUUUUGUUGGGAA
rnacentral:rRNA from 1 species